AGGGAUCAUUAAAAGAGUUAGGUCUCAGCAAUGAGACCGACCCUUCAACCCACUUGUAUUACCAUCUCUCGUUGCCUCGGGGGAUAUAUCUCUGAAAGACUUGAUUGUCCUGACGAGAUACCCCCGGUGGACACUAUAAACUCGUUUUUAACUAAAGUCUGAGUCAUUGAUUAAAAAUCAAAACAAAACUUUCAACAACGGAUCUCUUGGUUCUG
rnacentral:misc_RNA from 1 species